UUGAAGGUUGGGUAACACUAACUGGAGGACCGAACCGACUAAUGUUGAAAAAUUAGCGGAUGACUUGUGGCUGGGGGUGAAAGGCCAAUCAAACCGGGAGAUAGCUGGUUCUCCCCGAAAGCUAUUUAGGUAGCGCCUCGUGAAUUCAUCUCCGGGGGUAGAGCACUGUUUCGGCAAGGGGGUCAUCCCGACUUACCAACCCGAUGCAAACUGCGAAUACCGGAGAAUGUUAUCACGGGAGACACACGGCGGGUGCUAACGUCCGUCGUGAAGAGGGAAACAACCCAGACCGCCAGCUAAGGUCCCAAAGUCAUGGUUAAGUGGGAAACGAUGUGGGAAGGCCCAGACAGCCAGGAUGUUGGCUUAGAAGCAGCCAUCAUUUAAAGAAAGCGUAAUAGCUCACUGGUCGAGUCGGCCUGCGCGGAAGAUGUAACGGGGCUAAACCAUG
rnacentral:rRNA from 1 species